UGGAGCAUGUGGUUUAAUUCGAUGAUACGCAGGAACCUUACCUGGGCUCAAAUGUAUGUUGACGUAUUCUGAAAGGGAUACUUCUUCGGACAAUAUACAAGGUGCUGCAUGGUUGUCGUCAGCUCGUGCCGUGAGGUGUCGGGUUAAGUCCCAUAACGAGCGCAACCCCUAUCAUCUGUUGCCAGCAUUUAAGGUGGGGACUCAGAUGAGACUGCCGGUGACAAACCGGAGGAAGGUGGGGACGACGUCAAGUCAUCAUGGCCCUUAUGUCCUGGGCUACACACGUGCUACAAUGGCCGGUACAGAGUGAAGCGAAACCGCGAGGUGAAGCAAAACGCAGAAAGCCGGUCUCAGUACGGAUUGGAGUCUGAAACUCGACUUCAUGAAGUUGGAAUCGCUAGUAAUCGCGCAUCAGCAUGGCGCGGUGAAUACGUUCCCGGGCCUU
rnacentral:rRNA from 1 species